rnacentral:rRNA from 1 species
UACGUAGGGUGCAAGCGUUGUCCGGAAUUAUUGGGCGUAAAGCGCACGUAGGCGGCUUGGCAAGUCGGAUGUGAAAGCCCACGGCUCAACCAUGGAAGUGCAUCCGAAACUGCUGAGCUUGAGUACUUAAGAGGAUCGCGGAAUUCCCGGUGUAGAGGUGAAAUUCGUAGAUAUCGGGAGGAACACCAGUGGCGAAGGCGGCGAUCUGGGAAGAUACUGACGCUGAGGUGCGAAAGCGUGGGGAGCAAACAGG